UGGCGGACGGGUGAGUAACGCGUGGGUAACCUGCCUCACACUGGGGGACAACAGUUAGAAAUGACUGCUAAUACCGCAUAAGCGCACAGGACCGCAUGGUCCGGUGUGAAAAACUCCGGUGGUGUGAGAUGGACCCGCGUUUGAUUAGCUAGUUGGUGGGGUAACGGCCUACCAAGGCGACGAUCAAUAGCCGACCUGAGAGGGUGAACGGCCACAUUGGGACUGAGACACGGCCCAG
rnacentral:rRNA from 1 species